rnacentral:rRNA from 1 species
UACGGAGGGUGCAAGCGUUGUCCGGAAUCACUGGGCGUAAAGGGCGCGUAGGCGGCCCGGUAAUAGGGGGGUGAAAUCCUGCGGCUUAACCGCAGGGCUGCCUUCUAAACUGUCGGGCUCGAGCACGGUAGAGGCAGAUGGAAUUCCCGGCGUAGCGGUGGAAUGCGUAGAGAUCGGGAAGAACAUCAGUGGCGAAGGCGGUCUGCUGGGCCGAUACUGACGCUGAGGAGCGAAAGCGUGGGGAGCGAACAGG